CACAUAUUUGUCUGGCAAAGAUGGGCGGCCCUAUUGCCAUAUGUGUGCAGAUCAUCACUCCUGUAGACAUAUAAAGGGUCUAACAGACGGAACCCAGGUGGAACAAGGAGUGUGGGAUGAGUGGGGGGAUAGGCUCCAGAGGUCAAGGGCAAGGGGCCAAGAAAAUAUUCCGACAGCCUUGACAAUUGACCCAAUUUCAUUCCACAUCCCCCUUCACCUUAAGGAUCUUUUCUGUAAGGCUCUUUGCAACCCUAUGACUCUUUAUCCCACAAUGGGUGGAGUGUGCAGCUGUGGAGCCCCAUACUCAAAUCAGAGAAUCCUCUCUGGCACCCCAAAGCCACUGUAUAGUACAACAGCAACAGUGGCCUGCCAAUCUUACCAUUAUACCUGCACAAAUGGUGCUUGCGAGGGAAAGCUGCUCCCUCAGCACCCAUUCAUCUUGCAGAUGGGCAGUUAUUUUGUGCA